GCUUGUUGUUUGACGAUCUGCCGGAACUUGAGAUUUUGAGUGCUCAGUUAAAAUAAUUUUUGAAACUCCGUAAUAAUGUCCUGUGGAAUUUGUAGGAGCGAUAUGUGGCAAUGGCAACAAGAAGAAGAAUGUUGCCUGCCAACAUAUUCCCAAUUUGCUUUACCUCUAUGGGAUGAUACGAUGGGAAAUCAAACUCCACUUCGAGGAUUUGGUGAUUUCGACUUAGACGAAUUGGAUUUUGGAGAUGAGGUCGAGAAGGGCGUGGAGGAAGCAAACGAGGCAUCAAGAGUGAAAAGGCGUCGUGUUCUAAAUUUUUUUUCUGAUGAUGAUGGUGCCACAGCCGUCAAUGAGCAUUUGUCCUCUGAAGUAGUUUGUUCCAAGACUGUUUCUUCAGAUAGAUAAAUUAGAUUCAUCUUAAUACUUUAUUCAAAUUAGGCUAAAGCAUCCACUUGGUGCGUUUGAUUUUUUUACUUUAGGUUCAGGAGGACUCGACAUCAGCAAAAAUAUGCACACAAAAUUUACAGUCGAAUCUCACGUGUUCAGAUGAUAGAUUUCUUUUCAGUAAUGAAGUCUUGGAUCCAUCCUCAGAUGAAUGGAUGGAGAACUAUUUCAAUGAUAGUGAGAUAUACACAGUGGUAGGUGUUUUGUCCUAGUCUCAAGCCGUCAAUCCAUUUUGAUCAAUAUAUCUAGUAGAAGUAAGCAUGCAGAUCGUUGUCUUCGAGGCCGGCUAGCUAUUUUGUGAUUUUUUUUAUUUUAAAUUUGAAUGUCACUAACUACUUUGAAAUAGAAAUAUUUAUUCUUUGUGUAUAGUUGAAUUCUCCUGUAAAUUCUAAUACUUUGUAAUUGAAUUCUAUUGUUUGGUACGAGUUUGAAAUCAUUAGUUGAGCUAA